UACGUAGGGGGCUAGCGUUGUCCGGAUUUAUUGGGCGUAAAGAGCGUGUAGGCGGCCAGACAGGUCCGUUGUGAAACUCGAGGCUCAACCUCGAGAUGUCGAUGGAAACCGUCUGGCUAGAGUCCGGAAGAGGAGUGUGGAAUUCCUGGUGUAGCGGUGAAAUGCGCAGAUAUCAGGAAGAACACCUAUGGCGAAGGCAGCACUCUGGGACGGUACUGACGCUGAGACGCGAAAGCGUGGGGAGCGAACAGG
rnacentral:rRNA from 1 species